GACGAACCGUGCGAACGUUGUUCGGAAUCACUGGGCUUAAAGGGCGCGUAGGCGGGCCUCCAAGUCCGGGGUGAAAUCCUCCCGCCCAACGGGAGAAGAGCCUCGGAGACUGGGGGCCUCGAGGGAGGUAGGGGCGAGCGGAACUGUGGGUGGAGCGGUGAAAUGCGUAGAGAUCCGGAGGAACCCCAGAGGCGAAGGCGGCGUCCUGGCUCACAACUGACGCUCAUACACGACAGCAUGGGGAGCGAACGGG
rnacentral:rRNA from 1 species